AUUGAACGCUGGCGGCAUGCUUUACACAUGCAAGUCGAACGGCAGCGCGGGGGCAACCCUGGCGGCGAGUGGCGAACGGGUGAGUAAUGCAUCGGAACGUAUCCUGUAAUGGGGGAUAACGUAGCGAAAGUUACGCUAAUACCGCAUACGCUCGAGAGAGGAAAGUGGGGAUCGCAAGACCUCACGUUAUAGGAGCGGCCGAUGUCCGAUUAGCUAGUUGGUGGGGUAAAGGCCUACCAAGGCGACGAUCGGUAGCUGGUCUGAGAGGAUGAUCAGCCACACUGGGACUGAGACACGGCCCAGACUCCUACGGGAGGCAGCAGUGGGGAAUUUUGGACAAUGGGCGAAAGCCUGAUCCAGCCAUGCCGCGUGCGGGAAGAAGGCCUC
rnacentral:rRNA from 1 species